AGAAUCAACGCUGGCGGCGUGCCUAACACAUGCAAGUCGAACGAGAAAGUGGAGCAAUCCAUGAGUACAGUGGCGCACAGGUGAGUAACACGUGACUAACCUACCCUGGAGUGGGGGAUAACUGAGGGAAACUUUAGCUAAUACCGCAUAAUACNUACGGGGUCAAAAGGAGCAAUUCGCUUUGGGAGGGGGUCGCGGCCGAUUAGUUAGUUGGCGGGGGUAAUGGCCCACCAAGACGAUGAUCGGUAUCCGGCCUGAGAGGGCGCACGGACACACUGGAACUGAAACACGGUCCAGACUCCUACGGGAGGCAGCAGUGGGGAAUUUUGCGCAAUGGGGGAAACCCUGACGCAGCAACGCCGCGUGGAGGAUGAAGUACUUCGGUACGUAAACUCCUUUCGAUCGGGACGAUUAUGACGGUACCGGAAGAAGAAGCCCCGGCUAACUUCGUGCCAGCAGCCGCGGUAAUACGAGGGGGGCAAGCGUUGUUCGGAAUUAUUGGGCGUAAAGGGUGCGUAGGCGGUUUGGUAAGUCUUUUGUGAAAUCUAUGGGCUCAACUCAUAGACUGCAAGGGAAACUGCCGGGCUUGAGUGUGGGAGAGGUGAGUGGAAUUCCUGGUGUAGCGGUGAAAUGCGUAGAUAUCAGGAGGAACACCUGUGGCGAAAGCGGCUCACUGGACCACAACUGACGCUGAUGCACGAAAGCUAGGGGAGCAAACUAGGAUUAGAUACCCUGGUAGUCCUAGCCCUAAACGAUGACUGCUUGGUGUGACGGGUACCCUAAUCCCGCCGUGCCGUAGCUAACGCGUUAAGCUAGUCCGCCUGGGGAGUACGGUCGCAAGGCUGAA
rnacentral:rRNA from 1 species